rnacentral:rRNA from 1 species
AGGGUUCGAUUAUGGCUCAGGACGAACGCUGGCGGUGCGCCUUAUGCAUGCAAGUCGAGCGAAGCUUUUUGGUAGUUUACUACUAGAAAUGACUGAGCGGCGAACGGGUGAGUAACGCGUGAGCAAUCUACCUUAGUUACUGGGAUAGCCCGAGGAAACUCGGAUUAAUACCAGAUAUUCUUAUUUUUUCACAUGAAGUUUUAAGGAAAGGUCAGCCGAACUAAGAUGAGCUCGCGUUCUAUCAGCUAGUUGGUGGGGUAAAAGCCUACCAAGGCUACGACGGAUAGCUGGUCUGAGUGGACGAUCAGCCACACUGGGACUGAGACACGGCCCAGACUCCUACGGGAGGCUGCAGCAGGGAAUAUUGUGCAAUGAAGGAAAGUUUGACACAGCGACACCGCGUGUGGGAUGACGGAUCUAGGUUUGUAAACCACUUUCAGGAGGGAAGAAAAUGACGGUACCUCCACAAGAAGCCCCGGCCAACUUCGC